AGAGUUUGAUCCUGGCUCAGGAUGAACGCUGGCGGCGUGCUUAACACAUGCAAGUCGAACGAACCUUCGGGUUAGUGGCGGACGGGUGAGUAACGCGUGGGAAUCUGCCCUCAGGAGGGGGAUAACGGCUGGAAACGGCCGCUAAUACCCCAUAUGCCGAGAGGUGAAAUGAAUUUCGCCUGAGGAUGAGCCCGCGUCUGAUUAGCUUGUUGGUGAGGUAAUGGCUCACCAAGGCUUCGAUCAGUAGCUGGUCUGAGAGGAUGAUCAGCCACACUGGGACUGAGACACGGCCCAGACUCCUACGGGAGGCAGCAGUGGGGAAUUUUCCGCAAUGGGCGAAAGCCUGACGGAGCAACGCCGCGUGAGGGAUGAAGGCCUCUGGGCUGUAAACCUCUUUUCUCAAGGAAGAAGAUCUGACGGUACUUGAGGAAUAAGCCACGGCUAAUUCCGUGCCAGCAGCCGCGGUAAUACGGGAGUGGCAAGCGUUAUCCGGAAUUAUUGGGCGUAAAGCGUCCGCAGGCGGCCCUUCAAGUCUGCUGUUAAAGCGUGGAGCUUAACUCCAUCAUGGCAGUGGAAACUGUUGGGCUUGAGUGUGGUAGGGGCAGAGGGAAUUCCCGGUGUAGCGGUGAAAUGCGUAGAUAUCGGGAAGAACACCAGUGGCGAAGGCGCUCUGCUGGGCCAUCACUGACGCUCAUGGACGAAAGCCAGGGGAGCGAAAGGGAUUAGAUACCCCUGUAGUCCUGGCCGUAAACGAUGAACACUAGGUGUCGGGGGAAUCGACCCCCUCGGUGUCGUAGCCAACGCGUUAAGUGUUCCGCCUGGGGAGUACGCACGCAAGUGUGAAACUCAAAGGAAUUGACGGGGGCCCGCACAAGCGGUGGAGUAUGUGGUUUAAUUCGAUGCAACGCGAAGAACCUUACCAGGGUUUGACAUCCUGCGAACCUCUUGGAAACAGGAGGGUGCCUUCGGGAACGCAGUGACAGGUGGUGCAUGGCUGUCGUCAGCUCGUGUCGUGAGAUGUUGGGUUAAGUCCCGCAACGAGCGCAACCCACGUCUUUAGUUGCCAGCAUUUAGUUGGGCACUCUAGAGAGACCGCCGGUGAUAAACCGGAGGAAGGUGUGGAUGACGUCAAGUCAUCAUACCCCUUACAUCCUGGGCUACACACGUACUACAAUGCUACGGACAGAGGGCAGCAAGUUCGCGAGGACAAGCAAAUCCCAUAAACCGUGGCUCAGUUCAGAUCGUAGGCUGCAACUCGCCUACGUGAAGGAGGAAUCGCUAGUAAUCGCAGGUCAGCAUACUGCGGUGAAUACGUUCCCGGGCCUUGUACACACCGCCCGUCACACCAUGGAAGUUGGCCACGCCCGAAGCCGUUACUCCAACCCUCGGGAGGAGGACGUCGAAGGUGGGGCUGAUGACUGGGGUGAAGUCGUAACAAGGUAACC
rnacentral:rRNA from 1 species